rnacentral:rRNA from 1 species
CCUACGGGAGGCAGCAGUGGGGAAUUUUGGACAAUGGGCGCAAGCCUGAUCCAGCAAUGCCGCGUGAGUGAAGAAGGCCUUCGGGUUGUAAAGCUCUUUUGUCAGGGAAGAAACGGUGAGGGCUAAUAUCCCGUGCUAAUGACGGUACCUGAAGAAUAAGCACCGGCUAACUACGUGCCAGCAGCCGCGGUAAUACGUAGGGUGCAAGCGUUAAUCGGAAUUACUGGGCGUAAAGCGUGCGCAGGCGGUUUUGUAAGUCUGUCGUGAAAUCCCCGGGCUCAACCUGGGAAUUGCGAUGGAGACUGCAAGGCUAGAAUCUGGCAGAGGGGGGUAGAAUUCCACGUGUAGCAGUGAAAUGCGUAGAGAUGUGGAGGAACACCGAUGGCGAAGGCAGCCCCCUGGGUCAAGAUUGACGCUCAUGCGCAAAAGCGUGGGGAGCAAACACAGAGAUAUACCCUGGAUUCGACAGGCCUGAACGAGGUCUAAUAGUUGGCGGGGAAAAUUAAACUUUUAGCGCACAUCUCAAACUCUAAGGCGUGCCUGAUACUUAAUUGUCGA